AUUGAACGCUGGCGGCAGGCCUAACACAUGCAAGUCGAACGGUAACAGGGAUCAGCUUGCUGAUUCGCUGACGAGUGGCGGACGGGUGAGUAAUGUCUGGGAAACUGCCUGAUGGAGGGGGAUAACUACUGGAAACGGUAGCUAAUACCGCAUAACGUCGCAAGACCAAAGAGGGGGACCUUCGGGCCUCUUGCCAUCGGAUGUGCCCAGAUGGGAUUAGCUAGUAGGUGGGUAACGGCUCACCUAGGCGACGAUCCCUAGCUGGUCUGAGAGGAUGACCAGCCACACUGGAACUGAGACACGGUCCAGACUCCUACGGGAGGCAGCAGUGGGGAAUAUUGCACAAUGGGCGCAAGCCUGAUGCAGCCAUGCCGCGUGUAUGAAGAAGGCCUUCGGGUUGUAAAGUACUUUCAGCGGGGAGGAAGGGAGUAAAGUUAAUACCUUUGCUCAUUGACGUUACCCGCAGAAGAAGCACCGGCUAACUCCGUG
rnacentral:rRNA from 1 species